rnacentral:rRNA from 1 species
AUUGAACGCUGGCGGCAUGCUUUACACAUGCAAGUCGAACGGUAACAGGUUAAGCUGACGAGUGGCGAACGGGUGAGUAAUGCAUCGGAACGUGCCCGGUCGUGGGGGAUAACACUUCGAAAGAAGUGCUAAUACCGCAUACGAUCUGAGGAUGAAAGCGGGGGACCGUAAGGCCUCGCGCGAUCGGAGCGGCCGAUGUCAGGUUAGGUAGUUGGUGGGGUAAAGGCCCACCAAGCCGACGAUCUGUAGCUGGUCUGAGAGGACGACCAGCCACACUGGGACUGAGACACGGCCCAGACUCCUACGGGAGGCAGCAGUGGGGAAUUUUGGACAAUGGGCGCAAGCCUGAUCCAGCAAUGCCGCGUGCAGGAAGAAGGCCUUCGGGUUGUAAACUGCUUUUGUACGGAGCGAAAAGGCUCUCUCUAAUACAGGGGGCUGAUGACGGUACCGUAAGAAUAAGCACCGGCUAACUACGUGCCAGCCGCCGCAGUAA